rnacentral:pre_miRNA from 1 species
GUCCCGAAAUUCUUGUCUUAGAUUUGUCUAGAUACGGAUGUAUCAAGUCACAUUUUAGUAUUAGAUACAUCCGUAUCUAGACAAAUCUAAGACAAGAAAUUUGGGAC